UGUUUUGCAGUUCGGGAAGCUUAGAUCACGGUUGGGGGUCAGCUUCUUCUAAAGUAUUUCAAUACGAACGUCAUGCAUGAAAACUUCUCUUUCCGAUUGCUUUUUUAAAUAAUUUAUUUCGUAUUCGCACUCGGCGUUCGACAUCGCGCGAAGGUGCAGUAUGUGCAGCAUCUGAACGUAUCGCAACAAGGGCUUUUCCACCUGGGGACGAGAAGUGGAAGAAAUGUCCCUCUUCGACAGGCAGUGGUUAUCGAAGCACUGGGACCAUUCUGAAGACGAAUCACGUUUUCAAUAUGUCUUUUUUGGGGAUUACACGUGGCGAAAGGCGCUCCGUUAAAGGCCGAGUGAGCUGGUGAAAAAAAGACGAAAUUCUUCGCCGUUCGGGGACACUGGGUUUCGAUGGCUUCGUCCCUCAGGUUUAGAAAUCGAAAGGAUGCCAGCACCUGGCCGAGAAUGUCCUCAACUUUCUGGGCUAUAGUGCUACUGAGCAGCCUGCUCAUCAUCUAUUGCGGUCAGCUGGCAGCGGGGACGUGCGAGAUCGUCACGCUGGACCGCGACAGCAGCCAGCCGCGGCGGACCAUCGCGCGACAGACGGCGCGCUGCGCGUGCAAGAGGGGCCAGAUCGCCGGGACGACGAGGGCCAGGCCGGCCUGCGUGGACGCGCGCAUUGUGAGGACCAAGCAGUGGUGUGACAUGAUGCCCUGUUUGGAAGACGAGGGCUGCGACCUCUUAGUAAACAGAUCAGGCUGGACUUGCACACAGCCCGGAGGAAGAGUCAAAACCACCACAGCACUAUGACGAGAUGGAGAUCCCUUUCAUACAAACGUGACGGAGCACAGUGUGGUCCCGACAGAGACAGUGAAAACCAACCACUCGCCAAGAACAGACAUGAACACAACAUCAAACUGCAAAAACCACUGCGGGCCUUACCGACGCCAUAAGGUCUCCUGAGGAUGGGAGCGACAGAGACUGAGAGUUUACGGGAGCAGCGUGGACUCUGGCACUGAGCUGCCCCCCCCCUACAGCGGGUCUUCACCGCUGAGGAUUAUCUGCUGCCUGUCAUUGGCUCAGCUCAUCCAUCCAUGGACAGCGCCCCCCCUGUGCCCAGGAUGACCUCACGGGUCUGCGUGCCCCCACCUCGCCCAGAACGCGGAAACCCGAGAUUUAAAAAGGACAACGUCGGCCCUGCUCUGAAAACCACAAAGGAACUGGGUUUUUUACUUUGUCAGAGAGGGAGGAAGCCCUCCGAGAACACUGGGGCACCGGCUCGCCGCAGACUGGACCUACGGUUCCGACCUGACUCCACAAUCACCAUGAAACUGACCCACGAGGACAUCUGUAAAACUUUAUAUUUGGCACUCUCGCUUAGUUUUUUACCGACCAAAGAAAAACAGCAUUUAAGGUGGACUGGACAGACCAGGUUGGAAACGAAAGGGAAUCUGGGAAUUUUAUAAAGUCAGCUCUCACAAGAUGACAACAUACAGAUACAUAUAGAAACACAAACACAAAUACACACACACACGCAC